rnacentral:rRNA from 1 species
AGUGAACGCUGGCGGUAGGCCUAACACAUGCAAGUCGAACGGUAGCACAGUAAGUGCUUGCUCUUACGGGUGGCGAGUGGCGUACGGGUGAGGAAUACAUCGGAAUCUAUUUUUUCGUGGGGGUUAACGUAGGGAUACUUACUCUAAUAUCGCAUCCGACCUUCGGUUGUAAGUAUUGGAUCUUCGGACCUUGCGCGCUUCAAUGUGCCGCUGUCGUAUUUUAUAGUUGUCGGGGUAAAGGCCCACCAAGGCGACGAUCCGUAGCUGGUCUGUGAGGAUGAUCACCCACACUGGAACUGAGACACGGUCAAGACUCCAACGGGAGGAGGCAGAGGGGAAUAUUGGACAAGGGGGGCAAGCCGGAUGCAGACAGACCGCGUGGGUAAAGAAGGCCUUCGAGUUGUAAAGCCCUUUUGAAGGGAAAGAAAAGCAGCAGGGUAAAAACCCGCUGUUGUGACGGUACCCAAAGAAUAAGCACCGGCUAACUUCGUG